rnacentral:rRNA from 1 species
GAUGAACGCUGGCGGCGUGCCUAAUACAUGCAAGUCGAGCGAACAGACGAGGAGCUUGCUCCUCUGACGUUAGCGGCGGACGGGUGAGUAACACGUGGAUAACCUACCUAUAAGACUGGGAUAACUUCGGGAAACCGGAGCUAAUACCGGAUAACAUGUUGAACCGCAUGGUUCAACAGUGAAAGACGGUCUUGCUGUCACUUAUAGAUGGAUCCGCGCCGCAUUAGCUAGUUGGUAAGGUAACGGCUUACCAAGGCAACGAUGCGUAGCCGACCUGAGAGGGUGAUCGGCCACACUGGAACUGAGACACGGUCCAGACUCCUACGGGAGGCAGCAGUGGGGAAUCUUCCGCAAUGGGCGAAAGCCUGACGGAGCAACGCCGCGUGAGUGAAGAAGGUCUUCGGAUCGUAAAACUCUGUUAUUAGGGAAGAACAAAAGUGUAAGUAACUAUGCACGUCUUGACGGUACCUAAUCAGAAAGCCACGGCUAACUACGUG